rnacentral:lncRNA from 1 species
GAUCCUCCUGCCUUAGCCUCCCAAAUCACUCAGAUUACAGGCAUGUGCCACCAUGCUUGGCUUUCAUAUAUAUAGUUUUAAUCAGAUGUGAUGAGAAGAUAAAAAAAAUCACAGCUAGUAUAAAGCAAUUUCAUAACAACAUGUAUAAUCCUAUUUAUAGCGUGCUUGCAUAGAAAUUGGAAGAAAACACAUAAACCUAUUGACAUUAAUUCUGAUGAAAGAGGUUGAGAACAGGUGGGGAGUGGGCAGGUGAGGAAGGGGAAAAUUGAAAUAUAUAUUUCUCUACCAAGAUGAAGCUUCCCAGGAUAGGAGGGAAACUGAAAGAACCCAUCUUGGAACUGAUGGAGAAGAGCUUGGUAGCCAGAAACUACUCGACUGAUUUGCCUGGCUCCAUUGCUCACCAUUUCUUUGGUUAUUGUAUUAUUGCUAAAGAAGUAAGUAAAAUCCCAACAGAUAAUUUGGUUGGUCAAGUGCCAUCCAUUGUUCUAUCAAGAUGCACAGAGAAAGAAUCUAAGGGAAAGAGUUCCUAGGGAACUCCUUGGUUUCUGUUAAAGGAGGGAAAACACUUGAUUUUAAUCUUCCAACAAAGGCUAUACAACAGAGGUGGUGAGUUAAUUGCUUGAAAGAACACCAGAAUACUCAGAGGAAGAAUAUGGAUGCUGGAAGCUAAAAAUGACAAAUUUCCAGUUCACUAAAUCCACCCCUUUCACACACACUUUUUAUCUAUACCUUGAUCCUGGGACUUUUUUUACACUUGACCCAACCCAAGCCUUCUGGUAUGAUUUUAACACUUCCUGAAUAUUGACAGACCAUGUGUUAAGGGGUCAGGAGAGAGGAGAAGUGCAAGAUGGGCAGGUAGGGCAGUUAGGGUUCACAUUUGCUUUGAUUCUAUUCCUGUGCCUGUGCCAAAAAGCCUUUUUGGUGCCUGAUACUUAAACUUUUGAAGUUGAAUUACAAAUUUUAAAAAAGUAUUCAUCUAGCUUUUCUAACAACCUACAUCUCUGAUGGUGGAGCCAUUCUUUGCUAUGCCAUAUCAGAGUGGCCAAAGGGGCAUCUCUGACUAUCUCCUGUGCUUGUGUGUGGAGUGGUGGUAGUGUCCUGCUAGAUGAUUCUCUGCCAUCUUGAGAAGGUCCAGGCUCUAAGCUGGUUAUGUAACAAUGUUCUGUUUUUCCUACAGCAGGGAUUCUUUACUUAUGAACUAUUGACCUUUUGAUAAAAAAUGGCUCAUUUUAAUCCUUUUCAUAGCUUGGGGCUGAUUUUUAAAUUUGAGUUAAUCAUGAAAGGGUAUGCAAAUUUACACUAUGAGUUCUUUGGAUGGGAAAACAAAUUCCCUAACCCACUCCAUUUCCACUAGAUAGACACAUCCAUUACUCUGGCAUCUUUCAGAAGGCUAAAAGAGCAAGGAUAAUCUUAUGCUGCCAAUGAACUAAUUAACCUCUGUUAUGAUUUGUUAGACAGCUACCAUUGAUAACAAAAAAGAAAUUUUUUCUCUCUCUUUUAUCUUUUAGUAUUAGGGAUUGAACGCAGGGGCACUUAACCACCGAGACACAUCCCCAG